GGGGCUGUAUAGAUUCGACAGGAAAAGUGAAAAACAAUUUCAAGUCGAGCUGGUUACAUAAGCUCGUAAAAUUUUGUAGCAAAAUUCAAGCGCUAAACCAAAUUUAGCACCUGCAUUCGCUUAAAAAAGUGAAAGCUGUCCGCCCAACUGUUGGUUGAAUGGUUGGAAUCGGGCAUGACAAAUCAACUUGCUUCCCGCCAAGAUAGCUUUGGUAGGCGGGAUUAAGAAAACAAAGGCAAAUUUUAGGCUUGUCAAUGAUUGUUAGAUCUUUUUUUGGACGGGGAUGCAAUUUCCCCCAGCUCCACCA
rnacentral:tmRNA from 1 species